rnacentral:tRNA from 1 species
GUAGUGGCUCAGUGGUAGAGCACUUGCCUCACAUGUAUGAGGCACUGGGUUCGAUUCUCAGCACCACA